AGUGCAUAGGCGCGAGAAAGACUAACGGCAGCAGACUAAAGAAGCGGCAUAGACGCGAAAUUGGAGUAAUUUUCUUCUUUUCAAAGUGAAUUUCGGAUCUUUUCCAAUCAAAAUGGCGAGUUUUGGCCAGGUAUUUCUUCCACCCGGGAGAGUCUCCCGGACAUCGAAUACUAACGACGGAAAUUUCAACAGCUCGUGUGUGUGAUGAGAUGUGCGUGCAUGAGGACAUCGGACGACGAGCUUUACCCAAGGAUUUCGCGCCUUAAGAGACUGAGACAACGUCACCACCGGUUCGAAGGACACUGUUUGAACCUUAUUUUUCCCACUGGAAGACCAUCUCACUGUUAUUGUGGUACGGGGGCAUGAAAUGUGGGGAGGCUGGUGCUCUGGAUCUCACACUGUGCCUGACUGCUAAGUGUAUGUGUGUGUGUGGGAACACUGGCAACACCAACACAACCCUCAGCAACCUUCAGGGUCUAGUCACGGAAGGUCUCCCACAUCACAUUAGUCGUCAUUCGCACCCAAGACUGCAAGUUCCUCACCGAAACUGUGCGAAAACUCAUCAGAAAUGGCUUGAUCUUGUAGUCUGGCCAAGUCCACCCUCAUUCUCCUAGUAGGUGGUAGCCUACUGGAUCCGAGCUGAAUCUUAAAAAUAGCAACAAGAAGUCUGUGGUCAUAAUUCUCAAACUGGGCACUUCUGUAGACCCUGCAGUUUUGCAAGAGCCUCCAGCGUCUUCCCACGAGGAUGUGAUCGCAUCACCAGUACUGAAGUACCAAGUCCAAUGAUGCAGCUCAGGGCGUUGGAACCAGUAAAAUGUCUCCCUCAAUGAGACAUUACUCACUGUGGUCAGGCAGACACUGAGACAACAGACAAGACAUCAAAGGAGUGCCACCCUGGAUGUACAGCCUCAAACUGGGACCCAAGUGUCGCCAUGCAACAGACACCUCAGCACCACACCGGCCCCGAUCCCCAACAGACUUGACCCUACUAACUCUCCGACGGUUUCGACUCUUCCAGGGAUGAGGCUCCCAAAGGCUUUCCCCCAUCCCCUUCAUGAUGUGUGCCAGGUUGUUGAUUGAACACCAACUGACAGUUUGCUGACCUCGUCCAUGUAAGCAGACUCCUCAGCAUUGCAUAUCAGUCCUGCCACACUGGUGUCAUCUGCAAACUUGAUGAUUUUAUUUGUUCUGUGUGUUGGUAUGCAAUCCUGGGUAUAUAGGGAGUAAAGAAGAGGGCUAAGCACGCAGCCCUGUAGAGCUCCAGUGCUGUGUCAGGGUUGGGCAGUGGUGAGUCCCCAGCCUAACAGUCUGCGUUCGGUUUGUUAGGAAGUCCUUGGUCCAUCUGCGUGUCUGCUGACUGACACCCAGGUUGAGCAGUUUGGUUACCAUUCUACUUUGGAUGAUUGUGUUAUAGGCGGAGCCAAGGUCCCCAAAUAACAUGGUCGUUUAUGUCCCCUGGUCUUCUAAGUAAGUCAGCACAUUAUCGAGAGCUGUAUUGGUGGCAUCUUCCCAUAGGCAAAUUGGUGCAGUUCCGGGGUGGAUGGAAGUGAAGAUUUAAUGUGCCUUAGGAUCAGCUUCUCAAAGCACUUCAUUAUAGUGGGGGUGAAAGCUACAGGUCUGUAGUCAUUAAAGCUGAUGAUUGCUGUCUUCUUUGGAACAGGCACAAUGGUGGCAGACUUAAGGUGUUUGAGGACAAUACAUUGUGACGGGUUAAAGAUGUUGCUGAACACCUCUGCCAGCUGAUCUGUGCUGUCCCUGAGUGCCCGACCUGGAAUUUCAUCUGGGCCAGCGGCUUUCCUUGGGUUGACACUGCGGAAUACUCUUCUGACAUCUUUAGGGUUAACAGUAAAUGCCAUACUGUUAAAAAC